rnacentral:rRNA from 1 species
AUGAGUACAGUGGCGUACGGGUGAGUAACACGUGGGUAAUCUGCCUUUUAGUGUGGAAUAACCCUGGGAAACCGGGGCUAAUAACGCAUAAUCUCGCGAGAGGAAAGUCGCAAGACGCUGAAAGAGGAGCCCGCGGCCGAUUAGCUAGUUGGCAGGGUAAAAGCCUACCAAGGCAGAGAUCGGUAGCCGGCCUGAGAGGGCACACGGCCACACUGGCACUGAAACACGGGCCAGACUCCUACGGGAGGCAGCAGUGGGGAAUCUUGCACAAUGGGGGAAACCCUGAUGCAGCGACGCCGCGUGAGCGAUGAAGCCCUUCGGGGUGUAAAGCUCUUUCGGCAGGGAAGAUGAUGACGGUACCUGCAGAAGCAGCUGCGGCUAACUACGUGCCAGCAGCCGCGGUAAUACGUAGGCAGCGAGCGUUGUUCGGAGUUACUGGGCGUAAAGGGUGUGUAGGCGGUUGUUUAAGUUUGGUGUGAAAUCUCCCGGCUCAACUGGGAGGGUGCGCCGAAUACUGAAUGACUCGAGUGC